UGUAAGUCAGGGGUGUAAGGCGGUAGCUUAACUAUCGGAGUGCCCUUGAUACUGACGAGCUUGAAUGCAGCUGAGGUAGGCGGAAUGUGACAAGUAGCGGUGAAAUGCAUAGAUAUGUCACAGAACACCGAUUGCGAAGGCAGCUUACUAAAGUGCGAUUGACGCUGAGGCACGAAAGCGUGGGGAUCAAACAGGAUUAGAUACCCUGGUAGUCCACGCCCUAAACGAUGAAUACUCGAUGUUGGCGAUAUACGGUCAGCGUCUAAGCGAAAGCGUUAAGUAUUCCACCUGGGGAGUACGCCCGCAAGGGUGAAACUCAAAGGAAUUGACGGGGGCCCGCACAAGCGGAGGAGCAUGUGGUUUAAUUCGAUGAUACGCGAGGAACCUUACCCGGGCUUGAAAGUUAGUGAAUGAUACAGAGACGUAUCAGUCCUUCGGGACACGAAACUAGGUGCUGCAUGGCUGUCGUCAGCUCGUGCCGUGAGGUGUUGGGUUAAGUCCCGCAACGAGCGCAACCCCUGUGUUUAGUUGCCAGCACGUAAUGGUGGGGACUCUAAACAGACUGCCUAUGCAAAUAGAGAGGAAGGAGGGGACGACGUCAAGUCAUCAUGGCCCUUACGUCCGGGGCUACACACGUGCUACAAUGGAUGGUACAGAGGGCUGCUACCUGGCAACAGGAUGCCAAUCUCUAAAAGCCAUUCACAGUUCGGAUCGGGGUCUGCAACUCGACCCCGUGAAGUUGGAUUCGCUAGUAAUCGCGUAUCAGCAAUGACGCGGUGAAUACGUUCCCGGGCCUUGUACACACCGCCCGUCAAGCCAUGGAAGCUGGAAGUGCCUGAAGUGCGUAACCGCAAGGAGCGUCCUAGGGUAAAGUCGGUAACUGGGGCUAAGUCGUAACAAGGUAACC
rnacentral:rRNA from 1 species